rnacentral:rRNA from 1 species
GACGAACGCUGGCGGCGUGCUUAACACAUGCAAGUCGAGCGAAGCGCUUUAGGUAGCUUGCUACCUGAAAUGACUGAGCGGCGAACGGGUGAGUAACACGUGGGUGAUCUGCCUGAAAGCCUGGGAUAACAGUUGGAAACGGCUGCUAAUACCGGAUAAAGUCUAGUAUUCGAUUGCUAGACCAAAGAAAUUCGCUUUCAGAUGAGCCCGCGUCCCAUUAGCUAGUUGGUGGGGUAAAGGCCUACCAAGGCGACGAUGGGUAGCCGGUCUGAGAGGAUGGUCGGCCACACUGGAACUGAGACACGGUCCAGACUCCUACGGGUGGCAG